GUAGGUGGCAAGCGUUGUCCGGAAUUAUUGGGCGUAAAGCGCGCGCAGGGCGGUCCUUUAAGUCUGAUGUGAAAGCCCACGGCUCAACCGUGGAGGGUCAUUGGAAACUGGGGGACUUGAGUACAGAAGAGGAAAGCGGAACUCCAAGUGUAGCGGUGAAAUGCGUAGAGAUUUGGAGGAACACCAGUGGCGAAGGCGGCUUUCUGGUCUGUAACUGACGCUGAGGCGCGAAAGCGUGGGGAGCAAACAGGAUUAGAUACCCUGGUGGUCCACGCCGUAAACGAUGAGUGCUAAGUGUUAGGGGGUUUCCGCCCCUUAGUGCUGCAGCUAACGCAUUAAGCACUCCGCCUGGGGAGUACGGCCGCAAGGCUG
rnacentral:rRNA from 1 species